rnacentral:rRNA from 1 species
UACGUAGGGGGCAAGCGUUGUCCGGAUUCAUUGGGCGUAAAGAGCGUGUAGGCGGCCAAGCAGGUCCGCUGUGAAAACUCGAGGCUCAACCUCGAGAUGUCGGUGGAAACCGUUUGGCUAGAGUCCGGAAGAGGAGAGUGGAAUUCCCGGUGUAGCGGUGAAAUGCGCAGAUAUCGGGAAGAACACCCGUGGCGAAGGCGGCUCUCUGGGACGGUACUGACGCUGAGACGCGAAAGCGUGGGGAGCGAACAGG